UACAGAGGUCCCAAGCGUUGUUCGGAUUCAUUGGGCGUAAAGGGUGCGUAGGCGGCGCGGUAAGUCGGGUGUGAAAUCUCGGAGCUUAACUCCGAAACUGCAUUCGAUACUGCCGUGCUUGAGGACUGGAGAGGAGACUGGAAUUUACGGUGUAGCGGUGAAAUGUGUAGAGAUCGGGAGGAACACCGGUGGCGAAGGCGGGUCUCUGGGCAUUUCCUGACGCUGAGGCGCGAAAGCGUGGGGAGCAAACGGG
rnacentral:rRNA from 1 species